CCUACGGGCGGCAGCAGUGAGGAAUAUUGGUCAAUGGACGCAAGUCUGAACCAGCCAAGUAGCGUGCAGGAUGACGGCCCUCCGGGUUGUAAACUGCUUUUAGUUGGGAAUAAAAGGGGGCUCGUGAGCCCCGUAUUGUAUGUACCAUCAGAAAAAGGACCGGCUAAUUCCGUGCCAGCAGCCGCGGUAAUACGGAAGGUCCGGGCGUUAUCCGGAUUUAUUGGGUUUUAAGGGAGCGUAGGCCGGCUUUUAAGUCAGCUGUGAAAGUCCGCGGCUCAACCGUGGAAUUGCAGUUGAAACUGGAGGCCGUGAGUGCACACAGGGAUGCCGGAAUUCGUGGUGUAGCGGUGAAAUGCUUAGAUAUCACGAAGAACUCCGAUUGCGAAGGCAGUUCACUGGACUGCAACUGACACUGAGGCUCGAAAGUGUGGGUAUCAAACAGGAUUAGAUACCCGAGUAGUC
rnacentral:rRNA from 1 species